AGUAACGCGUGAGCAACCUGCCCAUAAGAGGGGGAUAACAGCUGGAAACGGCUGCUAAUACCGCAUAAGACCACAUUGCCACAUGGCAGAGGGGUCAAAGAUUUAUCGCUUAUGGAUGGGCUCGCGUCUGAUUAGCUAGUUGGUAGGGUAACGGCCUACCAAGGCGACGAUCAGUAGCCGACCUGAGAGGGUGAUCGGCCACACUGGAACUGAGACACGGUCCAGACUCCUACGGAAGGCAGCAG
rnacentral:rRNA from 1 species